UACGGGGGGGCAAGCGUUGUUCGGAAUUACUGGGCGUAAAGGGCUCGUAGGCGGCCAACUAAGUCAUACGUGAAAUCCCUCGGCUUAACCGGGGAACUGCGUCUGAUACUGGAUGGCUUGAGGUUGGGAGAGGGAUGCGGAAUUCCAGGUGUAGCGGUGAAAUGCGUAGAUAUCUGGAGGAACACCGGUGGCGAAGGCGGCAUCCUGGACCAAUUCUGACGCUGAGUGAGCGAAAGCCAGGGGAGCAAACGGG
rnacentral:rRNA from 1 species